AACGAACGCUGGCGGCAUGCCUAACACAUGCAAGUCGAACGAGACCUUCGGGUCUAGUGGCGCACGGGUGCGUAACGCGUGGGAACCUGCCCUUCGGUUCGGAAUAACUCCCCGAAAGGGGUGCUAAUACCGGAUAAUGUCUUCGGACCAAAGAUUUAUCGCCUUUGGAUGGGCCCGCGUUGGAUUAGCUAGUUGGUAGGGUAAAAGCCUACCAAGGCGACGAUCAAUAGCUGGCCUGAGAGGAUGAUCAGCCACACUGGGACUGAGACACGGCCCAGACUCCUACGGGAGGCAGCAGUGGGGAAUAUUGGACAAUGGGCGAAAGCCUGAUCAAGCAAUGCCGCGUGAGUGAUGAAGGCCUUAGGGUUGUAAAGCUCUUUUACCCGGGAUGAUAAUGACAGUACCGGGAGAAUAAGCUCCGGCUAACUCCGUG
rnacentral:rRNA from 1 species